GACGAACGCUGGCGGCGUGCUUAACACAUGCAAGUCGAACGGAAAGGCCCUGCUUUUGUGGGGUGCUCGAGUGGCGAACGGGUGAGUAACACGUGAGUAACCUGUCCUUGACUUUGGGAUAACUUCAGGAAACUGGGGCUAAUACCGGAUAGGAGCUCCUGCUGCAUGGUGGGGGUUGGAAAGUUUCGGCGGUUGGGGUUGGACUGGCGGCUUAUCAGCUUGUUGGUGGGGUAGUGGCUUACCAAGGUUUUGACGGGUAGCAGGCCUGAGAGGGUGACCUGCCACAUUGGGACUGAGAGACGACCCAGACGCGUACGGGAGGCAACGGUGGAGAAUAUUACACAAUGGGCGGAAGCCUGAUGCGACAACGCCGCGUGCGGGAAGACGUCCUGCGGGUUGUAAACCGCUUUCGCCUGAGACGAAGCGUGAGUGACGGUAAUGGGUAAAGAAGCACCGGCUAACUACGUG
rnacentral:rRNA from 1 species